GGCAGAUGAUGUCUACUGUUUUCACGAUGGUCUUCAGAUGCCCACCACGGGCAUUGCUGAGAAAGUUGCUUGGUACAGAUGAUGCCAGAAG
ensembl:snoRNA SNORD35B small nucleolar RNA, C/D box 35B